rnacentral:tRNA from 1 species
GGUUUGAGUAGCUAAACUAGCAUAAAACUGUAAAUUUUAACAUAUCUAAUCAUCCAAACCA